rnacentral:lncRNA from 1 species
UUAGGAGUAUUUGAGGGGAAAUUAGUUCCACUUUAUUUAAAAGAAUACCAGAAGACCAGAAGGCAAACAUGCAUGGAUCUACAACACCGAUCAUCAGCCUACUAUGAGGCCAUAGAACUUGCUUCCACUUUAUGCAACUCUUCCUGACAAGUGAGCCCCAAACCACUCAUUUUUAUGUUUCCCUUUUCACUGUUUUCAUCUCUGUGCCAGUUCAUUGAGAAGUUAAUAAAACUUCCCUGCUACAAGAGGUCAUUUCACAACUAAACAGAGAAAUUAAAAAUCGGAAAUGGAACAAAUGCCAAGGAGAUGUUGAAUGAGGUGGUGUUCUGGAUGUACUCUUUGAAGAACAUUUGCAGAAUUGUUUGAUUGCGUUAGAGCAUGCAGGAAACAAUAAACCCAACACAGACUAACGACAACUCUCAGAGUUGCAUUCAGCUCAAACAUUGCCAUUCUACUCGGAAUUACAAACAAAUCUGAUUGAUAGUGAAUUACUUAAUAUCAUGGAAAUGUUCCUGCACAUUUUGCAAAGCAAGAUGCUCAGAAAACCAGCACUUUUUUCAGCCUAAACAUGAAGAUGGUAAGACUUGAAUCUGCUUGUUCAUAUUGAAAGAAUUGUAGCCUUCACCAGUCAUAAGAUUGGUGAACAAGUUGCAUUCAAACAGUAAGAACUGCAAUUUAACCACAUCUCAUACCAGUUAGAUCUUUACAGUUUUGUCUUCUGACAAAACUGUAAAGUGUACUAAGUGUAGAAGAUUACGCUUAGAAACUGUCAAUAUUACAAGUAUUGAUUUUAUUUAAAAGAAGCAGGCUAGUGUAACUGGCUUUGCAUGUCGAUGUGAGGAUUUCAGCGCCGCCCACUCAAAGACAACGUUCAUCUCAGCUUCUAAGCCCCAGCAUGCAGUGCAAGGAAUUCAAUCUUUGGCCCAAUUAUUUCUUGGAAGAACAAGAAAUCAUGCAUAUCUAACUGCAUUGGAAUUGACUGUGCUGCUGGAAGGAGUGUGGUUUUGUGUUAAUCUUGUUGCCAUCAAUGAGUAACAAUAAAAUCAGAUAUCCUAAACAGCAGCAGGAAAAUUAGAAAGUAAAUGUUAGCAAUUUUCUUUUUUCUUUAAUAUCUCCAAUUAAUACAGUUCCUUAGUUGUUUCCUGGCAUUAUUCUUCAUUUUCCACCAUGCUAAUAAAAAACUCCCAAACCAACAUAUAAUAAACUCUGGUUUUCCUACACCCCUCAUGGUGCCGCAUGACUGCUAUACCUUCCCUUUGUUUUUUGCCUCACCACUACUGUACUUACAGGAUACUUUCCAGCUACCUUGUAUGUCCCUGGUGACAGAUGGACUUGUUUUGUGCCUUAAGGACAUGACAACAGCUUCUACUGAGUCAUAUCCAACAUCCAUCUAGCCUUUCCUCCUGUCUCUGACCAAGGUCAAUAGCAGCUAUUUAGGAAAUAGCAUAAAAACUGGGCAAGUGUAUAUUAAUCUUUUAUCAGCAUCUUGUAGUUGAAGAACAUCCUGACCAAGAGGUUACAUUGUUGCAUAUAAUAGCCCUGCAUGGAUUCCCCCUCUCCCCAGUGAAUUUUCAUCUUAAUUUAAAGGCAUUUUUAGCAUAGACAAAACUCCUCGGUAUGAAGGUCCAUAACAAAACUACACACUGUCAGAAAUAACCUCCAUGAGUCUGUGCUGAACCUACCACCCAUGAAUCUAUCCAUCUAUUCUUGCUAAUUAUCAGUUUUCUCUUUGUGAAUCUCCUGUGUUUUGCUGCUUUGCACUCUGCCAAGAUGUGCCAGAUCUUAUGCCUUCUUUAUGCUUCUGCAUAUCAGAGUUAAACCAACUGAAGCUCUGGGGUUUUGACACCAUUAGACUCCACAUGCUCUCUUGUGAAAAGGAUUGUGUCUGAUGAGGCAACAUCCUCCAACUCUCUCCUUCCUCUUCUCCCAAAACCCUGAAUGAAAAAGGAAAGCUGGGAAAUUAACAGCAUUUAUAAUUGUAAUUCAGCACUGAAACAUUAACCUUAAUUUCCCUUUGACAGUUACCCCCAUGCAGAGUAAAUGUCACUUGUUUUGUAAGCAGGAUGUUUUUUGCAGUCAGCUUGCAUUUUGUAAAUCAUUGCUGAAGUCACAAGACAAGAGAAUAUUACAUCAUGCAGCUGAGGACAGUGGGUUCAGAACAGAAAUACCUUGAAUAAACUUAAAGAUGCCAGCUCAGGGUUUAACACCAAUGAGCUCAGCACAGAAAGAAAUUAUUCAAUAUGUAGGUACAUGACACCACAAGAAGACAUCUAAGAGCAGCAAGCCAGUAGUGUAACACCAGCUCGCUGAGCAGGGUCUGAAGUGUGUAUGUGGGGAAUCAGACCCAGUUAUAGCUGGGAGCCUGAGCACAGGGCUUUUGUAGGGGAUGUUUAUAAAUGGACACAGACAUUUUUCCAGUCCCAGCACUUCCUUGAACACCCAGUAAGUAAGAAAAAAAGAGAAAACAAACCAAAAUGAGCAGUAUUGUCCCAUAAGUGAUUGCAUAUCCUCACCAGAAAUACGCAAGCAAAUCCCAAACCAGCAUGUCUUCUCUUCAUUGAUCUUAAUCAUGUAUUCUCCACAUAAAUAACUGUUCCCUUUUUAUUAUUCAUUCCAGCUGAGUGGACUGCAUACCUGGCCACACAAAUGUCUUCAAGUGGAUAAAAGGCACUUAGCUACAUACCAUGUACUUUGGAAGCUAAAACGAAGGAAAUUCCAGCAAUAGUUUACAGGCAGAGAUUGUGCUCCUACGGUUGUAAUUUUAAGCAAGACAGUUAUAGGCUUGGUUUUGCAUCAUGUCCCCACGCAUCUCUGUGCAUGUGCGCAUGUAGGUAUUAAUAAAUGAUGAGUUUAUAUGCAUGUACACCCAUGCCAGCAAAAGUAUGUGUAUAUAUUUACAUAUGUGCUUAUGUUACAGAAACUCAACUUUUCAGAACUGGAAAUAAAGAAGCUAUGCACCUUGAUCUUUUUAAUUGUGGGGGCCUCUCCUUUGCACAUGCAAUUUUGCAGACAUAGAUGAUGGAGUUUUAACAUUUACUCUGAGAUUAAUCUCCACUAGUUUGGGUUACUUAACAGUUAGAGAGACGGGCCUCCAGAAAACAGAGUUCAAAGAGGUAGGAUCAUUUGUCAUCUGAAUGAUACACAAGCACCUUAAACAUAGCUUGUUUAAAUUGGACAUCUCACUUCAAGAGAGUUAAAGUUAGGGGAAACAAAUCUUUUUGCCAGCUACUUGAUUGCUGUUAGACAGAUCAAGAAGAUCAUCCAAAUGUGUGGAUAACUAAACGGGAAAAAAAAAGAGAAGUCAGGGUAAUACCACAUUCUCUGGCAAAAACAUAUUAGAGAACUGAGGAAUCCAGGCAGAGAUGGAUUUCCAGCCUCUUAUAACAUGCAUGUGCUGCAAAGUUACACACAAUACAUGUUUUCAGAAUCUGCAUGCACUCUCCAGCUUUCCUUCACAUGCAUCUACUGUUAUGUCCAUAUUCAGGCAAAAGCAAAGAGGUUUGCAGGUAAAAAUGCCACUGUUGUUUUUAAUGGUCAUAAACACCAAAACACUAACCAGCACAAACAUUUGGAAUUGUUGUAAUGUAGCCACUGCUGACAUCUUCAGACUGUAGAACAUUUUCUUCUACUGAGAGCUACUUUAUCAACAAAAUAUUUGAACAUCCUUAUUUUAAGCAAACUACAUUGCUAAUACUCCUCAAUAUACUAAAUCGAAACAUUAGGUGGAGAAAUAAUUAAAAUCUGCAACUCAAAGAAACAAACACCCCUCUCAACACUCUGUUAAUUCAGCUUUAAUGAUGUACAAAAAUACAUAAUCUUUUAUCUAAAGCUUCGACAUUCUUUCAGAUGAUCGAAUCACAAGAACAUCCAAAGUCUUCCUCUCCAAAUGAUGAGAAAGCAAAUGUUAACCUGC